GCAUUAAGUGAUCCACCUGGGGAGUACGGCCGCAAGGUUGAAACUCUAAGGAAUUGACGGGGGCCCGCACAAGCGGAGGUACAUCUGGUUUAAUUCGAUGAUACGCGAGGAACCUUACCUGGGCUUAAAUGUAGAGCGACGGACCGGGAAACUGGUCUUUCUUCGGACGAUCUACAAGGUGCUGCAUGGCUGUCGUCAGCUCGUGCCGUGAGUUGUCGGGUUAAGUCCCAUAACGAGCGCAACCCUUAUCAUUAGUUGCCAGCGGGUAAUGCCGGGGACUCUAAUGAAACUGCCGGUGUAAACCGAGAGGAAGGUGGGGAUGACGUCAAGUCAGCACGGCCCUUAUGUCCAGGGCUACACACGUGUUACAAUGGUCGGUACAAAGGNCAGCUACCAGGCGACUGGAUGCUAAUCUCGAAAGCCGAUCUCAGUUCGGAUCGGAGUCUGCAACUCGACUUCGUGAAGCUGGAUUCGCUAGUAAUCGCGCAUCAGCCAUGGCGCGGUGAUACGUUCCCGGGCAUUGUACACACCGCCCGUCAAGCCAUGGAAGCCGGGGGUACCUGAAGUCCGUAACC
rnacentral:rRNA from 1 species